UGAGUAUAGGACUCGCUAGCCCUGAAUGAUGAACACAUGCGCCACCUGUUACCUCGACGAGCCGUCCUACUGUUUGACACGCUUGACGCUUCCUUGUUCUUGGGUCGCCUUGGCUCGUUGUUUACAAGGUGUGGAGAAGGUGGAGUACUGACAUGGCAUGUGAGUCGGGAUGACAUUGGAGCAAUCAUUCGCACAAGGUUAGCCAUGCGUCCAGAAUUAGCUGUUCCUUAAGCUGACGGAUGACAAGCACUUCUAGCAUCUCUCCUACUUUUGCUUCUCUGAAAACAACCUUUCGUCUGCUGCUGUUUCAGAAAACCUGAAACGUCCUGACAGCAUCUGUGUACUUGAAGCUUUGUAUAUUUUUUUGUUUGAUCCAUCCUUUUCUCUUCCUGCAUGUGUUGCAUGCCUGUAUAUGGUUGAAGUUAACAUGCACACAGUCUUGCUUUCAUGGAAGUGUCAGUUCUAUGAAGAAGCAACCGUGCAAUCCUCAGCCAAGCAACAGUGGUAAUCUGGUCCCUUGUGAUUACUUUCUGGCUCGAGCUUUCUCCAGGGAGAAGAGAACUUUCUGCAUCUGAUAACUCUUUGCUGAUUGCAAGAAAGUAGUUGGUUUUUUUGGAUGAAACCGUCUGCCUGAACUUACCCUCUCCAAAAACAGGCACCUGGCUAGCUGUGGCUUUGGCUUCAACGCACUGAAAACUAGUCGAUUACAAUCUGUUCUGUGGUGAAGUGAAACAACUUGUUCUCUGUAUUCUCUUUUUCUUUGAUCAAUGUACUGUUGUAAAAAUAAAUUUCUGCAUGAAACAGCAACGCUGAACUCUUUAGAUUAUUAA